rnacentral:rRNA from 1 species
UACAGAGGGUGCAAGCGUUGUUCGGAAUCAUUGGGCGUAAAGCGCGUGUAGGCGGUCCGGUAAGUCCGCUGUGAAAGUCGAGGGCUCAACCCUCGAAUGCCGGUGGAUACUGUCGGGCUUGAGUACGGGAGAGGCGAGUGGAAUUCCUGGUGUAGCGGUGAAAUGCGCAGAUAUCAGGAGGAACACCGAUUGCGAAGGCAGCUCGCUGGAACGUUACUGACGCUGAGACGCGAAAGCGUGGGGAGCAAACAGG